GACGAACGCUGGCGGCGUGCUUAACACAUGCAAGUCGAACGGAAAGGCCCUGCUUUUGUGGGGUGCUCGAGUGGCGAACGGGUGAGUAACACGUGAGUAACCUGCCCUUGUCUUUGUGAUAACUUCAGGAAACUGGGGCUAAUACCGGAUAGGAGCUCCUGCUGCAUGGUGGGGGUUGGAAAGUUUCGGCGGUUGGGGAUGGACUCGCGGCUUAUCAGCUUGUUGGUGGGGUAGUGGCUUACCAAGGCUUUGACGGGUAGCCGGCCUGAGAGGGUGACCGGCCACAUUGGGACUGAGAUACGGCCCAGACUCCUACGGGAGGCAGCAGUGGGGAAUAUUGCACAAUGGGCGGAAGCCUGAUGCAGCAACGCCGCGUGCGGGAUGACGGCCUUCGGGUUGUAAACCGCUUUCGCCUGUGACGAAGCGUGAGUGACGGUAAUGGGUAAAGAAGCACCGGCUAACUACGUG
rnacentral:rRNA from 1 species